GACGAACGCUGGCGGCGUGCUUAACACAUGCAAGUCGAACGGAAAGGCCCUGCUGUUGUGGGGUGCUCGAGUGGCGAAAGGGUGCGUAACACGUGAGUAACCUGCCCUUGACUUUGGGAUAACUUCAGGAAACUGGGGCUAAUACCGGAUAGGAGCACCUGCUGCAUGGUGGGUGUUGGAAAGUUUCGGCGGUUGGGGAUGGACUCGCGGCUUAUCAGCUUGUUGGUGGGGUAGUGGCUUACCAAGGCUUUGACGGGUAGCCGGCCUGAGAGGGGGACCGGCCACAUUGGGACUGGGAUACGGCCCAGACUCCUACGGGAGGCAGCAGUGGGGAAUAUUGCACAAUGGGCGGAAGCCUGAUGCAGCAACGCCGCGUGCGGGAUGACGGCCUUCGGGUUGUAAACCGCUUUCGCCUGUGACGAAGCGUGAGUGACGGUAAUGGGUAAAGAAGCACCGGCUAACUACGUG
rnacentral:rRNA from 1 species